UACGUAGGGGGCAAGCGUUGUCCGGAUUUAUUGGGCGUAAAGAGCGUGUAGGCGGCCAGGUAGGUCCGUUGUGAAAACUCGAGGCUCAACCUCGAGACGUCGGUUGAAACCGUAUGGCUAGAGUCCGGAAGAGGAGAGUGGAAUUCCCGGUGUAGCGGUGAAAUGCGCAGAUAUCGGGAAGAACACCCGUGGCGAAGGCGGCUCUCUGGGCCUUACCUGACGCUGAGGAGCGAAAGCGUGGGGAGCGAACAGG
rnacentral:rRNA from 1 species